rnacentral:misc_RNA from 1 species
GAUGAAGAACGUAGCGAAAUGCGAUAAGUAAUGCGAAUUGCAGAAUUCAGUGAAUCAUCGAAUCUUUGAACGCACAUUGCGCCCUCUGGUAUUCCGGGGGGCAUGCCUGUUCGAGCGUCAUUAUAACCACUCAAGCUCUCGCUUGGUAUUGGGGUUCGCGGUUCCGCGGCCCCUAAAAUCAGUGGCGGUGCCUGUCGGCUCUACGCGUAGUAAUACUCCUCGCGAUUGAGUCCGGUAGGUCUACUUGCCAGCAACCCCCAAUUUUUACAGGUUGACCUCGGAUCAGGUAGGGAUACCCGCUGAACUUAAGCAUAUCAUAAGCGGAGGA